UACAGAGGUCUCAAGCGUUGUUCGGAUUCAUUGGGCGUAAAGGGUGCGUAGGCGGCGCGGUAAGUCGGGUGUGAAAUCUCGGAGCUUAACUCCGAAACUGCAUUCGAUACUGCCGUGCUUGAGGACUGGAGAGGAGACUGGAAUUUACGGUGUAGCGGUGAAAUGCGUAGAUAUCGUAAGGAAGACCAGUGGCGAAGGCGACAUCCUGGACCGGUAUUGACGCUGAGGCGCGAAAGCCAGGGGAGCAAACAGG
rnacentral:rRNA from 1 species